rnacentral:rRNA from 1 species
UGGGGAAUAUUGGACAAUGGGCGAAAGCCUGAUCCAGCCAUGCCACGUGAGUGACGAAGGCCUUAGGGUUGUAAAGCUCUUUUGGCGGGGAAGAUAAUGACGGUACCCGCAGAAUAAGCUCCGGCUAACUUCGUGCCAGCAGCCGCGGUAAUACGAAGGGGGCUAGCGUUGUUCGGAAUUACUGGGCGUAAAGCGCACGUAGGCGGAUUUGUAAGUCAGGGGUGAAAUCCCGGGGCUCAACCUCGGAACUGCCUUUGAUACUGCAAGUCUCGAGUCCGAUAGAGGUGAGUGGAAUUCCUAGUGUAGAGGUGAAAUUCGUAGAUAUUAGGAAGAACACCAGUGGCGAAGGCGGCUCACUGGAUCGGUACUGACGCUGAGGUGCGAAAGCGUGGGGAGCAAACAGGAUUAGAUACCCCUGUAGUCCCUGAGCGGGCUGGCAAGGCGCAU